rnacentral:rRNA from 1 species
UGGAAGUAAAAAAUCGUAACAAGGUCUCCGUUGGUGAACCAGCGGAGGGAUCAUUACUGAGUUUACGCUCUACAACCCUUUGUGAACAUACCUAUAACUGUUGCUUCGGCGGGUAGGGUCUCCGUGACCCUCCCGGCCUCCCGCCCCCGGGCGGGUCGGCGCCCGCCGGAGGAUAACCAAACUCUGAUUUAACGACGUUUCUUCUGAGUGGUACAAGCAAAUAAUCAAAACUUUUAACAACGGAUCUCUUGGUUCUGGCAUCGAUGAAGAACGCAGCGAAAUGCGAUAAGUAAUGUGAAUUGCAGAAUUCAGUGAAUCAUCGAAUCUUUGAACGCACAUUGCGCCCGCCAGCAUUCUGGCGGGCAUGCCUGUUCGAGCGUCAUUUCAACCCUCAAGCUCUGCUUGGUGUUGGGGCCCUACAGCUGAUGUAGGCCCUCAAAGGUAGUGGCGGACCCUCCCGGAGCCUCCUUUGCGUAGUAACUUUACGUCUCGCACUGGGAUCCGGAGGGACUCUUGCCGUAAAACCCCCCAAUUUCCAAAGGUGACCUCGGAUCAGGUAG